rnacentral:rRNA from 1 species
AGCGAACGCUGGCGGCAGGCCUAAUACAUGCAAGUCGAACGGAUCCUUCGGGAUUAGUGGCGGACGGGUGAGUAACACGUGGGAACGUGCCCUUUGGUUCGGAACAACUCAGGGAAACUUGAGCUAAUACCGGAUAAGCCCUUCGGGGAAGGAUUAUCGCCAUUGGAGCGGCCCGCGUCUGAUUAGCUAGUUGGUGGGGUAAAGGCCUACCAAGGCGACGAUCAGUAGCUGGUCUGAGAGGANGAUCAGCCACAUUGGGACUGAGAGACGGCCCAGACUCCUACGGGAGGCAGCAGUGGGGAAUCUUGCGCAAUGGCCAAAAGGACUGACGCAGCGACGCCGCGUGUGGGAGGACGCC